AAGGGCCAAAAUUACCCCUGAACUUUGAAAAAUAGUUCAUUCAUGCCCUUCGUUAUACUUUAGGGCCAAUUAUACCCUUACCGUUAUACUUUGGGCCAAAUAUACCCUUGAGUAUAACGGCGUGCCACGUGUCAAAAUCUCAGUGGCCAACUUAUUUUCCCUCUUUUAUUUUUCAUCCGGAUGCCUACUCCUUCAGAUCCGACCCAAUUAAUUUAUUACCCAACCCGUAAAAUAACAUAUCAUACCCAAAUAAGCCAAACCUAACCCGUAUAACAUAUCUAUAACACCUCUCUCUCUCUCUCUAAAAAAAAAAAAACGCAGAUCGUCUUUGAUGAGUACCCUUUUGCUUAUACGCAGAUCGUCUUUGAUGAGUAUCCUUUUGCUUAUUUUGUGAUUUACUGUUUUUCUUAUAGAAAAUGAUCGUCUUCAAAUGGGUGAAGUAGUUUCCACUAUUCCAAUGAAGUCUUACAAUGUCCGAAAUUAGUUGUAAUUCAACGAAGAAGUGUCACUGUGGUGAAAUUGCUCAUUGUUUCACUUCGAAAAUACCUUCAAAUCCUGGUAGGAUAUUCUAUAAGUCUCCUAAACUUAAGGCUGAAAAUUGUGGUUUUUGGGAGUGGCAAGAUAAUUUUAUAGACAAUGCUUUAUUGGAAAUAAGUGAUGUGAAGGGUAAAUUGAAAGUGGCUACGGUGAAGAUGGACAAUUUAAGAGAGUCGUUGAAUGCGAUUAAGCUCGAAAGAGAAAACUUGAAGAAAAAGGUGCAUAACUUGGAGGCUAUAAAUAACUCUCAAGUGAGAAAAUCAAGGGAAUUGGAAGAGAAGAUGUUGAAGUUGAAAAUGUUGUUUAUGAUUUCAUUGUCCGUAUUAGUUGGAUUUUUUUGUCGCUAAUUUGGGAUGAAUUAUGCUUGGUCUAGUAAUAGAAGUGAAAGGCUUGUUUUGGUAGAUGACAUGUGUAGGAGUAGAAGUGUUUGUUUAGGAGUUGAAGUCUUGAUAUGUAAGCUAGUUUGUUGUUGUUAUUGUAUGUGUAAAUUUGCUAAUUUAGUGUUGCUAAUAAGAAAUUCAUUUUUUCUCUC